GAUGAACGCUGGCGGCGUGCUUAACACAUGCAAGUCGAACGGGAAAUCUUUUAUUGAAGCUUCGGCAGAUAUAGAUUGUUUCUAGUGGCGGACGGGUGAGUAACGCGUGGGUAACCUGCCUUAUACAGGGGGAUAACAGUCAGAAAUGACUGCUAAUACCGCAUAAGCGCACAGAGCUGCAUGGCUCGGUGUGAAAAACUCCGGUGGUAUAAGAUGGACCCGCGUUGGAUUAGCUAGUUGGUGAGGUAACGGCCCACCAAGGCGACGAUCCAUAGCCGGCCUGAGAGGGUGAACGGCCACAUUGGGACUGAGACACGGCCCAGACUCCUACGGGAGGCAGCAGUGGGGAAUAUUGCACAAUGGGGGAAACCCUGAUGCAGCGACGCCGCGUGAAGGAAGAAGUAUCUCGGUAUGUAAACUUCUAUCAGCAGGGAAGAAAA
rnacentral:rRNA from 1 species